ACUGGGUGUGGUGGUACACACCUGUAAUUCUAGCAACUCUGGAGGCUGAGGCAGGAGAAUCCUCAGCAAUUUAGCAAGGUCCUCAGCAAUUUAGGGAGACCCUGUCUCAA
rnacentral:sRNA from 1 species